UCCAAGUGAUGGGUCGAGAGACGGGCUGGCUUGGAUCCUAGUGGGAUUAGGGGGGCACCGGGCAGUGCAGCCUGGUGGUCAAGACCCAGCCUUUGGAGUGAAGCUGACACCCCUGCUCUACUGAGUGACCUUGUGGGACACUUCAGGUCCCCGGUGGGACCUCUCUGGGCCUCAGCAUCCUCAUCUGGACAACAGUGGCAAUGCUGUCUCCCUCGCAGGACUGCCGUGAAGAAGAAAUGCAAGGCUGAACGUGGAGAACGAGGGGGUCUGUGGACCCGCCAGGCCCUGCUGGGAGAUUCUGUCUCACCACCUUCCCCGACCUGCAGCCCCGCCCAACCACUCCUCUGGGCUGCCUUCCUCGCCGUGGCCCCCGAGGGAUCAUCCUGGCAUCAUGCUCUUCGGUGCCCAUCUGACCCUCACCCCCAGGGAACAAGUCCCCAGCUAAGAGUCAUCUGUGGAUAGAAGAGCUAACACAGGUCAUGUUCUUAGAACGGCACCUGGCCCGUAGUGAUCACUCAACACAUCUUUGCUGUUCUGAAGGUAGCUGACUGGCACUGCUUCAGUGGAACCCCCGCCCCCCGACUCCUCCUCCACCAGGGCUGAAGCAGGCAUGUCCUCCCUGGAGCUUCCGGAACCCCCAUCCCAGACAUCAAUCACUUGGUGCAGGAUAAUGACAAGAUAACAGCUGUCA